UAGAAUUUUGGAAAGAUUACUACCCAGAGAAAAGAUGAUUAUCCUUUUUAUUUUAAUGGGGAGAAUGAGGGUAAGACUGCAGCAUUUCAUGUUAAGAGGGGAAUAUUCAGAAGGUAGGUGGGUUUUUGUUUUGUUUUGUUUUUUCUGGGUUUUGCCCCCCUUUUUUUUUUUCCCCUCAAAAGCUGGGUGAAAUGCUGUGUACUGAGGAGUUACACUGGACUACUAGAAUAAGACAAGUUGCUCUGAGCAUGAAUAAACACUGAAGCAUAUUUGUUGUUCAUACUUAGGGCAUAGUUGGUACUGUCAGGGUAAUAACACAGAAAGUUAUUAUGGUACCAUGGAAUAUUUGCAGAGUUCUCAAAAGGCAGAAUUGUGCUGGUAGUGAAGUGGGGUUUUGAUUAUUCAAACCCUUUAAAUUAAAAAUUGCUCUCUAAGUUAAAUUGAAUGACACAAAUUAAUUUGAUUAGGUCUUUGUUUUACAACAUAAGAGAUUUUUAACCUUUGACUAAAAGCGAGUCUUCUGGAAGUCAUUCAAGGCGACACGUUCGGAUAAUCAUUCAGAUUUUGAGAGUUAGGAAAACAGAUCAAUACUGAGCUCUUGUCCUGUGAGUAAUAUGAAAUUAAAUAAUGUCUCAUACACUCAACAGUGAGACUCAUGGAAGGACAGCUGGGACGGACUUGGAAGCAGGAGCGGGGCAGGCGAGGAUGGAGGGAGGCAGGAGGUUGCAGCAGGCGACCAUCUGAUGGGCAGACGCUUCAAAAGGAGCAGUGGCUUCAAAAGGAGCAGUGCAGAUGGCACAGAAACUGCUGUUUCUGUGACUGUUCUGAUUCCUGUCGCUGCAGCCAGCGUGGAUCUGGAUGCCGUGGCUACAGAGGCUUGUUACUUUUCUCAUGCUGGAUCCCUCAAAUCCGAGAGCUACUUGGCAGUUUCCAAGGCAACCACCUGUGGAAUAAUUAAAAAGGAUGAAGUGCUAGCCUGCCAGAUACAAGGAAUUCUUGCCUGGAGAGAGCAUUUCACUUUUCAUCUGCCUUGAAGGAUCAAAUGUGCUUCUGCCAGCAAAGUUAAGAAAAAAGGAACGGUGGCUGAGUUGUACAAGGGAAUGAGGACAAUCCAAAACGUGACUCAAAGCAGGAGGGAGCAGAUGGCAGCGUCGUUAGCUGGUGGCCACAGCCUUCCCAGAUGAGUUUUGGAAUUUCCAUCAAAGUCGGGAUUAGGCUCAGGAUAUGCCGGUGGCACAGAGCACGCCGGGGGAGCGUGGAAGAAGAGGAAAUCAUUCAUAGCGACUCAUCUCGUGGUUGGGUGCUGAUCCCACGGAGGUGUCCUGCACAUGCCAAGGGACGAACACGUUGAGGGAAAAGCUGUUCGUAAAUCUGUGCGAACUGAAAGAUUCUGAGGACAGACCUGUCAGUAGUGAAUUGUCCCAGAAGCACAUGGAGAAAGUUGUACGUGGUGGAGGCUGUUCUUUCUGAGGUACAGCACAUCUGUGUCCUUCCUUGGUAUCAGCUGUUAUAAAUACCUUGUAACCAUCAGACCUUUCCUGUUCGAAGCUUUGAGAAGCUUUGAAAUUAAAAAGAUAAAAGAAGGUAUUGUGUGUGCAUAAUGGAUAAAUUGGAUGUUUCACUAGUGGGAAAUAACUGUCUUUAUUUGAGGGCUGUUCCAGAGGGAUGUUCCCAAGAUCUCUUACUUCAUAGCUCUUCUCAGUGCAGCUAAACAAAGCACAGGAAGGAACGGGAAGUACUGUCAUCAGUGUAGGAAAUCUUUUCAGGUUUUUCAUGUCAUUAAUUUCCUCCCAAAUCACCCAAGUGCUUUUUGUCCUUACCUGUUCAUAUCAAGCCACUGCAGACCUUCUGAUCACAUUAAAUUCCAGCUGUGGAGGCUUUGAUUGUUUCUUGCACGUUGCCCAUUUAACAUCAGAUAACAAAAUUGUUCGGUAAGAAAAAAUUCAAAUGGAAAAAUUCAGGCCUGUGGGGAAAGUUGGACCUUGUGCAAAAACCCAAGUAAAACCUGAGUAAGAA